AACGAACGCUGGCGGCAUGCCUAACACAUGCAAGUCGAACGAACCCUUCGGGGUGAGUGGCGCACGGGUGCGUAACACGUGGGAACCUGCCCUUAGGUUCGGAAUAACAGUUAGAAAUGACUGCUAAUACCGGAUAAUGUCUUCGGACCAAAGAUUUAUCGCCUUUGGAUGGGCCCGCGUAGGAUUAGCUAGUUGGUGAGGUAAAGGCUCACCAAGGCGACGAUCCUUAGCUGGUCUUAGAGGAUGAUCAGCCACACUGGGACUGAGACACGGCCCAGACUCCUACGGGAAGCAGCAGUGGGGAAUAUUGGACAAUGGGCGAAAGCCUGAUCCAGCAAUGCCGCGUGAGUGAUGAAGGCCUUAGGGUUGUAAAGCUCUUUUACCUGGGAUGAUAAUGACAGUACCAGGAGAAUAAGCCCCGGCUAACUCCGUGCCAGCAGCCGCCGCAGUAA
rnacentral:rRNA from 1 species